GCCUCGUUAUAUCAGUCGGUAGAUAGUGUGACUCUUACGCUCACGAGCCGAUUGAUCACACAGUCAUGGGUUCGAGCCCCAUACGAGGCU